GACGAACGCUGGCGGCGUGCUUAACACAUGCAAGUCGAACGGAAAGGCCCUGCUUUUGUGGGGUGCUCGAGUGGCGAACGGGUGAGUAACACGUGAGUAACCUGCCCUUGACUUUGGGAUAACUUCAGGAAACUGGGGCUAAUACCGGAUAGGAGCUCCUGCUGCAUGGUGGGGGUUGGAAAGUUUCGGCGGUUGGGGAUGGACUCGCGGCUUAUCAGCUUGUUGGUGGGGUAGUGGCUUACCAAGGCUUUGACGGGUAGCCGGCCUGAGAGGGUGACCGGCCGCAUUGGGAGUGAGAUGACGGCCGGAGGCCUACGGGAGGAAGCAGUGGGGGAGAGGGAGGACUGGGCGGAGGCAUGAUGCAGAAACGGCGAGUGGAGGAUGGCGGCCUUAGGAGUGUAAAACGCGACCGCCUGGGACGGAGGGGGAGGCACGGGAAGGAGUACAGAAGCUCAGGCGAACUACGUG
rnacentral:rRNA from 1 species